UUUUAUUUUACCUUAAAAUAAAUCACUAAUCACAUUAAAUGAAUGAAUCUCUAGAAAUGACUUUGUCAAAGCAACAGAAUGACUAGGGCUUUACRAUGGUGGUGACAACUUUUGGGGUUUAAAGGGGCAGUCAGCAGUUGCUACGUCCAUUUUUGAUUCUUGAAGAAUAUAACUGAUAAAUACCUUCCGUGAGCUUAGUUCCMCUKUCACAGCACAUCAGUCCUUGCAUCCAUAGCCCUGUCUAUUGAAUUUGAGUGGUUACAUUUCUUCAGUAAUUUAUUGUUUCUACUGCUGAUUGCAGCUUUAAGUGGGUUAAAAAUCUUCCUAGAAGUCAAAGGGAAAUGCCAAAAUACUGACUUUAUGSCACCGUAGCAAGUCUUUUCAUAUUAAAAGUCAGAUUUUGUGGUCUAUAUUAAAGGGCACUUCAUUUAAUAUAGAAGGCUGUUAAAAUACAGUAUUGGUGCACAGUUGUUACUUAAAUAUCAAAGGGAUGCAAAAUAAACGUUUGUGGAACAACCCUGUUCAGUGUUGCUUCAGGUCCUCCUGCUUCAGGUCCUCCUGCUUCAGGUCCUCCUUAUAAACCAGCCAUCUUCAUUAACAAAGAAACUGUCACGCUGAAAUGGCUGCUUAUAGCAUAUUUUCACAAUAUUUUCACAUAUUUCCCCCCCCACAACCUAUAACCAAGAUAAAGCUUGAACCGUGACCAAGGCGAUUGGCUAGUGGGUCAUUCAUGUUUUUAAGCUUUUGUUUUGCAACUGUGUUUACUGCCUGUUUGCGAGUAGAUCAGAGAGAAAUACUGUUUUAUUUAUCCACAAUAAUUACUGUUCUUGUCAGAUGGUAAAAAAAAAAAAACAUGUCAAAGG